GAUGACAAACAACUUCAUCAGUUAGGCUCUGAGGGAACAAAAUAGAAGAAAUGUCUGCCAAUUCUAAAUUCAGGGCCAUUGCCUUAGCUGAAGGAGCUCUAGCUCUAAAACAUUCACACUGUAGAAAAUGCCAUACUAACCAUCCAAGCCAAUGGCUAUAGAUAGAAAAAAAAAAGAAUUCAACAGCCCAUUAUAUAGCAACCUUAGCAAUCAACAGAAACAUCAUUAUUUGAGAAGAGUAUAAGGACUGAGUGACCUGCCUGGGCAGUACCUGUAGAAACUGCCAGCAAUAUAACAGCCUGCUUGGUUUCAUGCAACAGUCACUGUCCAUUAAAUGCCUAUCCUAAUACAGUAGCAUCAGAGCCUGUUGAAGAACCAGCCCAAGUGACCUGUCUGGUCUUCCCCAAUAACAGACGUACCUAUCUAUCAGAGAUACUGAAUCUUUAGGGGAAUCAAAUCCCAGAUGAUCCAUUGGUCCAGCAGAUCUGGAUGCUUCUCAUUUGCAGAGUUGCCAAUUCCCUUGGCCAUUGCAAGCACUAUAGUGUCCUGAUCUCCCUUCCAAGUCCAAUAUAAAAUUCCUAGAGUGGACUUUAAAUGAUUGUCUUCCCAGCAGAACUGAUAAUCCAGUAGGAAUUGAAUGAAAACUAGUUCACAGCUGAAUUGAAAAGGAAUACCCAAGGCUUAAAGGACUUUGCAAGGGUUGUUCUCUAUCCAUGGAACAUACUCUCUCUUUAAUUCCUCCACGAAGAUUUCCUAUCUUCUUUCAAGACACAGCAAGAACCAACUUCUAUGUGGAGUCUUUUCUAAUCCCCAAGUUCCAAUUCCCUCCUUCUCAAGGUAUCUUGCAUUUGUUUGUAUUUAUUUAAUUUUCAUGUAUUCUCUAUAUACUUAUAUGUGUCCUUGUUCUUAUUGUCUUUCCCAUUAAAUCAUAAAUUUCUU